GGCGGUAUCGUCUAACGGUUAGGACGGAUGGUUCUCAACCAUCAAAUCGGGGUUCGAUUCCCCGUACCGGUACCA
rnacentral:tRNA from 1 species